GCCAGGUGCGGUGGCCCACGCCUCUAAUCCCAGCAGCUCAGGAGGCUGAGGCAGGAGGUUUGCAGGUUCAAAGCCGGCCUCAGCAAUUUAGCAAGGCUUUAAGCAACUUAGUGAGACCAUGUCUCAA
rnacentral:sRNA from 1 species